UAACAGACAUGUCACUCUGUGAGGAAGUGAAUUGGUUCUCAGCCUAACCCACAAGUGAAUUGCUGUUUAUUAGAACUUGGGCUGUUUCCUUCGAGAGACGUAUGUAUUUUUAGACUUUGUAAACGUUAACGCUCACACAUACACACAUGCAGCCAGCUGCUUCGAACGAGAUGUGUGGCUCGUAGACAUUACGAAAUGCUCUUGAACUCGGCUUGAGAUCCUGGAAUAAUUAGGAUUUACCAAACAAGGAUUCUUAGAAACAACAGAUUUUUUUUUCUUUUAAGAAAGGAGAUUUGCUGCAGAUGAUGAUGUGUCUGGGACUUUGGGGGAGUCGGGGGAAGAGGAGAGGAAAAGGAAGAACAUUUUUGAAUUCUUCACUGGGAAAAGAUGAGCAGCACCGAGGGAAGCAAUUAUUCUCUCUCCUCAUAGAUGGCAACGCUAAAUCCAAAGGCAAAUCCUAAUGAUUCUGAAGCAGGCAGAGCUCACUCGACUUUAAAGACAUUCUCUUGCAGUUCACAUCAGAUCAUAGAUGAUUCCCAUGAAGAGGUUUGGGGGAGGGAGGGGGUGGUGGAGGCCAGAGAGUGGAGUAUGGUUUCUGCUUAUUGGUUUUCUUUCCUCUGAAACUAACCCGACCAACCUUGAUCUGGUGGAGGGAGUGAAACCCCUCUGGAGUAGAGCCAGUAGUCCGUUCCCACAGCUAUGGUCAUCAGGCUGAAGGCAGCGAAAGCACCAACGGUGGUUAAAAGCAUUUGAACACCUCGAUCAAACAGCCCCAUAAUUCUUCAUUAUAUAAACACCCAACCGACUUCUGGUUCUCGGAAGGGUGUGUGUUUGAGGGUGUGAAUACUAAAGCCAAAAAAAAAA